UACAGAGGGUGCAAGCGUUGUUCGGAAUUACUGGGCGUAAAGCGCGUGUAGGCGGUUUUUCAAGUCCUGUGUGAAAGCCCUGGGCUCAACCCAGGAAGUGCGCAGGAUACUGGAUGACUGGAGUGGCGGAGAGGAUGGCGGAAUUCCCGGUGUAGAGGUGAAAUUCGUAGAUAUCGGGAGGAACACCUGUGGCGAAGGCGGCCAUCUGGACGUUCACUGACGCUGAGACGCGAAAGCGUGGGGAGCAAACAGG
rnacentral:rRNA from 1 species